CGCAUGCGCAGGCGCGGAGUAUAAAAGGCGCGCACGUUGAGGGGGACGCUCAGUGUGAGGGGAGAGAUGAGUCUUAGAAGACAUAAUGGUGUUGUGGAGAGUUCAAUGCAUGCUUCCACCUGGAAUGCUUCGAAGUUACUGAGGAGUCCUCAAGGGGAAGCAUCACGCAUCGGUAGAGGUGCUUCAAGAGGCUGUGACAAUGGAGCUAAGCAGCAUUCGGGUCCAGGCGUUCCUGGAGGCUUAUGAAAACUGGAAAACUCAUUGGCAGCAGUGUGUAGAUGCAGAAGGGUGCUACUUUAAAAAAUCUCAUGGAUAAAUUCUUUUAAAAAGUCCUACUUUCAGAACAGAUCAUGUAUAUACAUCCUCUUAGAGUUCUGUAUUUUCAAUAAACAUUUAACUUCUUGAAUCCAUAA